AUUUAAUGAAGUGAACAUGCGUGAGGGCCAACCAUUUUGCCUGACAUUCUUUGAACCAUUUUGAACUAUUUUAUGCAAAAUUUAUUGCAACGGCAUACUUUUCAUUUCAUCUCUUUAUUCUGUCUCUCUUUUAUUCUGUCCCUUCAUUCUGCCCCUUCACUCUUUUAUUCUGCCCCUUCAUUCUCUGCCCCUUCCCUCUUUUAUUAUGACCCUUCAAUCUCUGCCUCCAGGGAGAAGGAACCAAAUCCUGCGACGUCGACGUCCAAGAGAUUGCAAGAACGCAGACUGAGGAUGAGCAGUGAGUGCACUCAGGACCGCGGCGUUCAAAGAUCCAGGAAUCCUGAGCAGUGCUCGGGGAUUCACUGGGGGGCCACAACAGAUAGAUUAGCCAAAUUACCUGCGGGGCUGUAUUAAACCAGAACGCGGGCCGCAAUUGGCCCGCAGGCUGGACUUUGGAC